rnacentral:rRNA from 1 species
UCUGUAGGUGGUUUAUGAAGUUCCCUGUCAAAUAUCAGGGCUCAACCUUGAGAAGGCAGUGAAGUACUCAUAGACUAGAGUGCGGUAGGGGUAGAGGGAACUCCGCGUGGAGCGGUGAAAUGCGUAGAGAUGCGGAGGAACACCAGUGGCGAAGGCGCUCUACUGGGCCGUCACUGACACUGAGAGACGAAAGCUAAGGGAGUGAAAA